CGGCUGUUCCCGCGGCCCCGGCGGCUCCUGCGCGCUCGGGCCGCCGCCGGGAUCGGGGUUCCUGUCGUGGGGCGGCGAGGCUGUCGGGAGAACAGAGGAGAGGCCGGGAGGCUGCGGGAGGGAGGCUGGCCGAGGAGGACUAAACGUAAUUGACAGCUGUGGUUGGAGAACAAGCUCUUUCUGCCCCCUCUUCAAUGUCUGUAUAAACAUCCGCCCUCUUGUGUGCACCGUUUGUUGAGGAAGUACCGAGAGCGAACCCCAGGGGGCGCGGUCUCCUGGUACAGGUCCUCCCAAUGGUGGAAGCGCCCCUGACAACGGAACUGUUUGGUUUUCCCAUCCGUGUUUACACUGUCAUCUUGGUCUCCAGAAUCGGGCAUUUGUGAGCGGAUUCUUAUCCGGCUUCCUGGACACCACUGCCUGGUAAACUACAGCGAAGAGACGUUGAAAGCCUAGCUGGGAGGCAGAGGCCCCGGGUGAAGUAUAAAAGCACACACAUUGCUUACAAUUUCCCCUCCUUUGAUGGUGGAGGAAAAAAAAACUCCUCUAAAUGGUACGGCAUGCAAACAAAUUUUUUUAAAUUAUUAGUGAUAUUCCCCAGGGCUCCAGACAGAUUGGUGAGCAGACUUCAGCCAACUCGGAAGCCGGGCAACUUUCCAUGCCCGGUUACACAACAUCAGCUCCCCGUUUGCCUGGGUCCCAGCGCCCUCCGGACAGGCUCGGGGACCCGUCUGUAUUUUCCUCUGUCGUUUGAACCGGCUGGUUUUCAGCAUUUCUCUCCUCUUGCACGGAAGAGCUUGGUCCGCCCGUUUGCAGCUCUUGCAACACUUCAUUUAAAGCGAUUUAUCUCGCCAAACUGAUAAUCUCCUUGAACAUCAGCUUUCACCCAGCAAUAAUAGCUGGUUGCAGUUCAUGUUUUUGCAAAGAGGUGGAUUCUGACUCAUCGUGGCCCACGUUGUCCCACACACACAGCUGAAUAAAGUCCUGGUGGACGUCCAAUUCCCGACUGUCAA